rnacentral:rRNA from 1 species
UACAGAGGUCUCAAGCGUUGUUCGGAUUCAUUGGGCGUAAAGGGUGCGUAGGCGGCGGGGCAAGUCUGGUGUGAAAUCCCUGGGCUCAACCUGGGAACUGCAUUCGAUACUGCCGUGCUUGAGGACUGGAGAGGAGACUGGAAUUUACGGUGUAGCGGUGAAAUGCGCAGAUAUCAGGAGGAACACCAAUUGCGAAGGCAGCUCGCUGGGACGUUACUGACGCUGAGACGCGAAAGCGUGGGGAGCAAAC